AAUGGAUAUUACCAAACAAUUUCAAAAUGGCUGCAACUACACUUAAGGAUAUAAAGCAAAAUAUAACCAAUGACUGAAAAGGCAAAAAUAGAAACCAUAAAAAUGAAACAUGAAAAUUCUAAAACUAAAAACACAAUCCCUGAAAAUGCCACCCCUGUCACCCCUACAAAACUAAGUACUGGCUUGGGUGUGAGGCAGUAAUGAGCUGUAUACAGUGUUAUCAACAUUACAGAAAGCCACAGUAGUUACUAAAGGAAAGAAGAAAAUAAGUCUAUUCUUGAUCCAUAAUUCAUGAUUUUCAGGCAAUUCUUGACAAUCACUUAAGUUAUUACUGCACUUUACAGAAGAUAAAAUGAGGAUCAAAGAGAUUAAGAAAUAUGGCUCAAGGUUAUUAUACAAGUAGUGUCUUCCAAGCAAUUCUAGAUCCAGUACUAAGUUCUUGUUAUUUUUUAAGCAAUGAUGAACUGAAAAGCCUGUUGCUGAAGAAAAGCAGCUGGCUAAUAAAGCAGAAAUUAUAACAGAAUAAGCAAUGUAAAAGGUUUGAAAAUGCUUUCUUUAAAGGUUUCUCUUUUAGGAAAGCAAUUUUAUUAGGAACCUCUUUAUUCAUAUUGUCCUAUUCAUUUUUCCUAGGUCAUCUGAUAUCCCACUAUUUGUAAAAUAUUAGCAGAUAUUAGGGCCUGGUUACAUAAAUUAUAGAACAUACAAUGGAAUGAAUGCUAUGCAGCAUUACAAACGACCGUAUAAAAUGUCUGCUGAUAAGGAAAGCUGAUCAAAACAUAUUAUGAGAAACAAAACAAAAAAAUAGUGUGAACAAUAUCAUCUGAUUUUUUUAAAGUUCUAUUAAGUUCUAUUAAUUGCAGACUUCAAAAUGUUAAACAUUUGGUAAUUUCCAAGUGAUGAGUCUAUGGGUGAUUUUCAUUUUUUGAGCUUAUUCUAUUUGCCAUUCUUAAUAUUAUAUUUUUUGGACAAUACUUGUGCAAUUGAAAAAUUAAACUUGUAAAUCACACCAUCAUGCUGUACACCUUAAAUUUCUACAGUAACGUUUGUCAAUUAUUUCUCAAUAAAAUUGAGGGGGAAAUGAACAAAACAAUCUUAUUCAUCAACUCAACAACUAUUAGGCACAUACUACAUACCAAGUAAUGAUUACUUAAU